rnacentral:rRNA from 1 species
AGAAUCAACGCUGGCGGCGUGCCUAACACAUGCAAGUCGCACGAGAAAGUGGAGCAAUCCAUGAGUACAGUGGCGCACGGGUGAGUAACACGUGAAUCAUCUACCUCCGAGUGGGGAAUAACUGAGAGAAAUCUUAGCUAAUACCGCAUAACACUUACGAGUCAAAGCAGCAAUGCGCUUGGAGAGGAGUUCGCGGCAGAUUAGUUAGUUGGCGGGGUAAUGGCCCACAAGACGAUGAUCGGUA